GACGAACGCUGGCGGCGUGCUUAACACAUGCAAGUCGAACGGAAAGGCCCUGCUUUUGUGGGGUUCUCGAGUGGCGAACGGGUGAGUAACACGUGAGUAACCUGCCCUUGACUUUGGGAUAACUUCAGGAAACUGGGGCUAAUACCGGAUAGGAGCUCCUGCUGCAUGGUGGGCGUUGGAAAGUUUCGGCGGUUGGGGAUGGACUCGCGGCUUAUCAGCUUGUUGGUGGGGUAGUGGCUUACCAAGGCUUUGACGGGUAGCCGGCCUGAGAGGGUGACCGGGCACAAUGGGACUGAGAUACGGACCAGACUCCUACGGGAGGCAGCAGUGGGGAAUAUUGCACAAUGGGCGGAAGCCUGAUGCAGCAACGCCGCGUGCGGGAUGACGGCCUUCGGGUUGUAAACCGCUUUGGCCUGUGACGAAGCGUGAGUGACGGUAAUGGGUAAAGAAGCACCGGCUAACUACGUG
rnacentral:rRNA from 1 species